rnacentral:rRNA from 1 species
UACAGAGGUCUUAAGCGUUGUUCGGAUUCAUUGGGCGUAAAGGGCGCGUAGGCGGCGGGGUAAGUCGGGUGUGAAAUCUCAGAGCUCAACUCUGAAAUGGCACUUGAUACUGCUCUGCUAGAGGACUGGAGAGGAGAUUGGAAUUCACGGUGUAGCAGUGAAAUGCGUAGAUAUCGUGAGGAAGACCAGUGGCGAAGGCGGAUCUCUGGACAGUUCCUGACGCUGAGGCACGAAGGCCAGGGGAGCAAACGGG